rnacentral:rRNA from 1 species
UACGGAGGGGGCUAGCGUUGUUCGGAAUUACUGGGCGUAAAGCGUACGUAGGCGGCUUUGUAAGUUAGAGGUGAAAGCCCGGGGCUCAACCCCCGGAAUUGCCUUUAAGACUGCAUCGCUUGAAUCGCGGAGAGGUGAGUGGAAUUCCCGGUGUAGCGGUGAAAUGCGCAGAGAUCGGGAGGAACACCCGUAGCGAAGGCGGCACUCUGGGCCGGUACUGACGCUGAGGAGCGAAAGCGUGGGGAGCAAACAGG